GAUGAACGCUGGCGGUGUGCCUAAUACAUGCAAGUCGAGCGAACAGACGAGGAGCUUACUCCUCUGACGUUAGCGGCGGACGGGUGAGUAACACGUGGAUAACCUACCUAUAAGACUGGGAUAACUUCGGGAAACCGGAGCUAAUACCGGAUAACAUGUUGAACCGCAUGGUUCAACAGUGAAAGACGGUCUUGCUGUCACUUAUAGAUGGAUCCGCGUCGCAUUAGCUAGUUGGUAAGGUAACGGCUUACCAAGGCAACGAUGCGUAGCCGACCUGAGAGGGUGAUCGGCCACACUGGAACUGAGACACGGUCCAGACUCCUACGGGAGGCAGCAGUAGGGAAUCUUCCGCAAUGGGCGAAAGCCUGACGGAGCAACGCCGCGUGAGUGAAGAAGGUCUUCGGAUCGUAAAACUCUGUUAUUAGGGAAGAACAAAUGUGUAAGUAACUAUGCACGUCUUGACGGUACCUAAUCAGAAGGCCACGGCUAACUACGUG
rnacentral:rRNA from 1 species